UCAAAUGCGGAAAUCCUUGAUUGACGUUUGACCAUCUAACUUUUUAUCUUCAGCGUUAGGAUUUUCCUUGAAGUCAAGAUCAAGUCAGGCGGAUAUUAUCGAGCUCUCGCCGUCGCUAGUUACCGAGAAAUGAGUCGAGUGGGUCACAUAAUUUUACAGAUAUCACGAUAUCAAAUCCAUCUGUUUCUAUAAUCAGACUUCAGCAAGGCUUUGUGAAAUGUCUAUAUUUAAAGGCACAAAGAAUGGUAAAGGUGGAAGUUUGACCGAGAAACUGAUCUUCUACACAGGAUCAGAAUAUGAUUACUUUAGUCAUGACUCCCUCAGAGAGAAAAUGAGCGAACAUAAAGGGAUUAACCACUCCGAGAAACUACAAAAAAAGUGGCUUUUUAAAAGACCUCUGAGUGAAUGGCAACGUACCCAGCUUGUUUGGAACCAUCAGUUUGUCGUGGUAGAUUCACCUGGUUGGUAUUGGUCCCUUGAGAGAGAAGGGGAAACGCUUCUCCUUCAAAGGAACGUAAAGUAUACCGUCGUUAAAGAUUGUGAAGAAGGAUGCCCCAGAUACGUUCCAGUAGUCGAAAUAAAACAUGGUUAUUGCAAAGGAACAAUGAAAGAUUUGAGUUUCUUUAUCGCAAGGGAGAGCUAAAGACUAAUUACGAUUGGGUGUUCAACAAUUGUAAAACGUUCGCAAAUAGUGUGUUCAAUGAAUUUGUGGUAGAGGGUACGGUCGAAAGAGCAUUCAAUUUUUUGUGAACAGUGACACUUCAAAUGAAGAGCUACUUCAAAGUCAUAUAGGAAUUAUAUUCUAUAGCUAUUUAAUUGAACUAUUUUUUUAACGUCAAUUAGAACCAAUAGUCUGGUCUCUUAAAGAUCGCAGGUAACCGAGAAACCACCUCUCGACGAUCGCUGCAAUCGUUUCAGGUGAGAUUUCUUACGCAUCUGAAGCUUCGGGUGAAUUUUUAAAGAUAUUUUGGAAACUAACGAUCAAGAAUUUCAUAGCUUUGUCCGUUUUAAGACUAACCUUUAGAGUAGUUCCUAGUCGUAACUUGUUCAUGUUUUUUGUUCACUUCGUAACUUGUUAAUAUUUCUGUGUAAAUAAUCAUCAAAAUAUAACCGACUGUGCUCAUC